rnacentral:rRNA from 1 species
AGUGAACGCUGGCGGUAGGCCUAACACAUGCAAGUCGAACGGCAGCACAGUAAGAGCUUGCUCUUACGGGUGGCGAGUGGCGGACGGGUGAGGAAUACAUCGGAAUCUACUUUUUCGUGGGGGAUAACGUAGGGAAACUUACGCUAAUACCGCAUACGACCUACGGGUGAAAGCAGGGGAUCUUCGGACCUUGCGCGAUUGAAUGAGCCGAUGUCGGAUUAGCUAGUUGGCGGGGUAAAGGCCCACCAAGGCGACGAUCCGUAGCUGGUCUGAGAGGAUGAUCAGCCACACUGGAACUGAGACACGGUCCAGACUCCUACGGGAGGCAGCAGUGGGGAAUAUUGGACAAUGGGCGAAAGCCUGAUCCAGCCAUACCGCGUGGGUGAAGAAGGCCUUCGGGUUGUAAAGCCCUUUUGUUGGGAAAGAAAAGCAGCAGGUUAAUACCCCGCUGCUCUGACGGUACCCAAAGAAUAAGCACCGGCUAACUUCGUG